rnacentral:tRNA from 1 species
GGGCAAGUGGCGGAAUUGGCAGACGCGCGGGACUUAGGAUCCCGUUCCUCAGUGGAGUGAGGGUUCAACUCCCUCCUUGCCCACCA